GGUCAAGCUACAAAGGGCGCAUGGUGAAUGCCUUGGCACCAGAAGCCGAAGAAGGACGCGAUAAGCUGCGAUAAGCUUUGGGUAGGCGCAAAUAGCCAGUGAUCCAGAGAUUUCCGAAUGGGGCAACCCACAUUACGAGCAGUAAUGUACUGUAAACUGAAUUCAUAGGUUUAUAGAGGUAUACCCGGGGAACUGAAACAUCUAAGUACCCGGAGGAAGAGAAAGAAAAAUCGAUUUUCUAAGUAGCGGCGAGCGAAAGGGAAAGAGCCCAAACCAGGAACUUGUUCCUGGGGUUGCGGAUAGACCAUAAAUACUGCAAUUUUUUAACUGAAGAGAGCUGGAAGGCUCCGCCGUAGAAGGUAAAAGCCCUGUAAGUGAAAGAAAAGAGCAGUCAGGUCUAAUCCAGAGUACCACGAGACACGUGAAACCUUGUGGGAAGCAGGGAGGACCACCUCCCAAGGCUAAAUACUAACUGGUGACCGAUAGUGAAGCAGUACCGUGAGGGAAAGGUGAAAAGAACCCCGGAAGGGGAGUGAAAUAGAACCUGAAACCGUGUGUCCACAAUCAGUCGAAGCACUUUUAUGUGCGACGGCGUGCUUUUUGUAGAACGAGCCAGCGAGUUACGAUGUGUAGCAAGGUUAAAUACUUAAGGUAUGGAGCCGAAGGGAAACCGAGUCUGAAUAGGGCAAAGAGUUGCAUGUCGUAGACCCGAAACCGGGUGACCUAUCCAUGGACAGGUUGAAGCGGAAGUAAAAUUCCGUGGAGGACCGAACCACGUUGGUG
rnacentral:ncRNA from 1 species